UACAGAGGUCUCAAGCGUUGUUCGGAUUCAUUGGGCGUAAAGGGUGCGUAGGCGGCGCGGUAAGUCGGGUGUGAAAUCUCGGAGCUUAACUCCGAAACUGCAUUCGAUACUGCCGUGCUUGAGGACUGGAGAGGAGACUGGAAUUUACGGUGUAGCGGUGAAAUGCGUAGAUAUCGUAAGGAAGACCAGUGGCGAAGGCGGGUCUCUGGACAGUUCCUGACACUGAGGCACGAAGGCUAGGGGAGCAAACGGG
rnacentral:rRNA from 1 species